rnacentral:rRNA from 1 species
AGUGAACGCUGGCGGUAGGCCUAACACAUGCAAGUCGAACGGCAGCACAGUAAGAGCUUGCUCUUACGGGUGGCGAGUGGCGGACGGGUGAGGAAUACAUCGGAAUCUACUUUUUCGUGGGGGAUAACGUAGGGAAACUUACGCUAAUACCGCAUACGACCUACGGGUGAAAGCAGGGGAUCUUCGGACCUUGCGCGAUUGAAUGAGCCGAUGUCGGAUUAGCUAGUUGGCGGGGUAAAGGCCCACCAAGGCGACGAUCCGUAGCUGGUCUGAGAGGAUGAUCAGCCACACUGGAACUGAGACACGGUCCAGACUCCUACGGGAGGCAGCAGUGGGGAACAUUGGACAAUGGGCGCAAGCCUGAUCCAGCCAUACCGCGUGGGUGAAGAAGGCCUUCGGGUUGUAAAGCCCUUUUGUUGGGAAAGAAAAGCAGCAGGUUAAUACCCCGCUGUUCUGACGGUACCCAAAGAAUAAGUACCGGCUAACUUCGUG